GGGAAAGCCAAUUAGAUGGACCCAGGCUGUGGGUGGGGGUGUAUGACAUGAGCCUUCUGAUUUCGUGAACCCGAAUCCCACUCGAGAAAGCGUAGUCAGAGCCAAGCACCAAACCAAAGAUGGAUUCGGAUUACGUUCGGGUGUUGCGGGGUCAUCCGCCUGUCGGUCCUUCUGCUUCGAGGGGAAGUUGUCUCGUGCGUGUUGGGCUUACGCGGAGCGUCGAGUCUCUCUCCGUGCCCAUUCCGUGCGCGUUAAGCAUGCUGCAGCGGAGGUGCAGACUCGCGAAUGGUGACGAAGGAGGAAGCCCCCAAGAGGUCUCUCUCUCUCCCUCAGCUGAUAGUAAUCCGCAUACUAGCCAAAAUUUGAUAGGUUUGAAUUGGGCGUUCUCCCCUUGGUGAUGAACUCUCCUCAGUACAAAAUUAACAAAAUAUUGUUAUUUCCUUAGUCCAUUUAAGUAUAUAUUACCUUAUUUUGAUCUUAUUUCUAACUUUACAUGGCCGGAUAGAGAUUAUUUCUCAAAUUACAUUUCAAGUUACAGAGAGU
rnacentral:lncRNA from 1 species